UUGUCCCUCACAGUGCAUGCAGGGCCUGUUGUUAUGUGCAGUCUGGCUCCUAAGCUAGCUAGCUGUACCUUGCUGGUCACCUUCAAGAUUAUACUGCAGGGGAGAUGUCCUGGAGUUACCUGUGCAUGUGUGAUAAUAGAAUCAGACUGAUGCUAAUACAACGAGUGCAGAAGGCAGCUGGAGUGUCUUCAUCACCAUAGCUACUUGUACAAGAUAAUAGCACACCCACGUGGUAUGGUGGCUUGACAGUGACGUUAGCUGAGCUGAAACAGUGUCUGCAGACUGUAGCAGGAUCACUGGAAUCAAAGUCAAAGACGGCUAAAGUGGAGUUUAUGCAUAGCAGGAAAAGCAAACUGUUAAUUGCUAAGGCAUUUGAUGAUGUGAUGAAUAAUGUGUCCAAGGAGAAGUUUGAUAACUGCUUAUGGUUCAACAGCUGGAUAAGCCAAUAAAGUUGUUAUAACAUUUGAAGGCGUACAUUGUAGCCCUGACCAAAACCUCUUACCCGGGCUAUUAAUUAUACACUCAUGUAGCUAAAGUAGUUGACAGUCCCACUUCCCACUGGGAAUGGGUCAACUUCCUAUCUAGAAUGUGUGACAUGAUUUUGAGUUCAAGCAUGGGAAUACUAUACAACGUACCUCCUAAAGUUACAAAGAGUGUGUAGGGGGAUACGUAUAUGUACGACAGGGUCAAUAAGGUCCACUUUUACCAUGCUGAAGAGUUAGCUCCUCAUUUUGAUCAGUUAUUUGAUGAAGUGCGUGAAUGAUAACCCCAUGCAUGUGAUAUUUUAUGACCUUUUGACUGUUUCAUUGUCAUACCCCAGUGACAAGUGAAGUACGCUGUAAAUGUCACAUGAUAUUGGUCCUUCACUCUCAUUGAUCAUAAUGAUUCAUUGGUAGCUGACCAGUUCAACUCCAACCCUUCAACCCUCCUGGCCUGGAAUCGAGGCUACUUUUGUUGUAGUUGUGGUGCACUGUGGCCGAAUUGAAUUGCCAACAAAAGAGCAUGUAGGAAAAGAGUGUGUGGUCGAAAUAAUGAUGACGAUGAUGAUGAUACUGUGUGCAAAGAAACUGCCACAAAAUAUAUUCGUAAAAGGAGUUCUUCACUAAAAAAGAGGGUGUUUCAAUGUUUUUAUGACAGAAAUAAGGCUGCAUCAGAAAAGUGGAAAGAAAUUAAACAAAGAUGUAUACUCUUGUGUUACCAAAAUCUGCUGACCGAAAGAGAUUAAUUGCGAAGCCACAUUUAACAACAGCUGAACAGAAAAUAUUCGCACUACAUUUAAUAGCGCUUGCUGUGGAGACUUAGAGGUGAAAGUUCCCUAUAAGUAUCAGAUCGGAGCAUGUUGGACUGUCUCGUGGUGUCUCCCUCUUUCACCCCUCUGUUUUACCUCUACCUCCACUUAAAAGAAAUUUAUGACACACUUCCUUUGAUCAAGUUUUUUGGUGUACCUCCAAAACUGCUCCUCAGGCUGAAUUUGAUCAGUCAUAAUAAUUAUUUCAAGGGCCAACUCACUUCAUCGUCUAGCAGCACCUUAGUUGGUCAUACUACAUUGUUGACUGUCUCAGAUCAAGACUGCCUUAGUAUACUGUACCUAUAAUGGCUUCACCAUGCACAAUGUCAAUUGUUGUUUACUACUUUACAUCACUACCGUAUAGCGAGUAAUUUUCGUGGGUUAAAAUAUUCGUUAUUUUCUAGCUUGGGCAAGCUGACCUCCACGAAAUUUUAACGUAGGCGUGGCUUACCGGAAUGUAGGAAUGCAAUGCAGGCCAUGAGACUAAUUAAAAAUUUUACUCACGAAAACCACCGUUUUUCGAGUUGAACGAAUUUUUUACCCCACGAAUUACCUGCUAUACGAUAUUUAUUAUAAUUUAUAUAAAAUGGUGUUUUAUAAACAGCUUUUUAU